AUAGGAAAGGAACAAGCAAACUAAUCUUUCAUCGUAAUUAAUUGUAUGCAAAUUGUGUGUAUAUCUGUACAUCAACCAAUUUGUGAAGUGUGUGCAUGGUGGGAACUCUCCAAAUAAUAUUUUUCCAUCAUAUAGACAGAGACAAAAGAGAAAAAAAAAAUGCAUAUGGAAGAAAACAGAAAACCCCUUCUCUCAGUAUUAGAGACCUUUCCCAAGCCUUGUAUCGAAAGGGGGCGAGCAACUAUACAACCUCAGGCCAACACAAAGAAUAUAGAAAUUGUCUUGGCAGGGCAUUGUAAAGCACAACCAACAUUAACCAAAAUAACCUACAACCCCGCUGGGCAAGCUCUUGACAGGCAAGCAUGAGAAUUGCAGUGCAAGAGAAGAAUCUUUGAGCUCCAUUUGCUCCCAGUUAAAAUAUAUUCACCCGGAAAAACCAAGGGAGUACAAAAGCGAUUACUAGGCAUGCCAUCAGAAAGUUACAAAAGGGCUGUCCCCGCCAACAUCCUCUGCCUCUGUCUGAUGAACUAGCACUGCUACCAAUAAAUCUCCUUUGAUUCCACUCUUCCAUAAACCUGUUGUCCCCAACACCUGUAAUAUUCUUUGCUAUCUCCCCGCAAAUUUCACACAUUCUGUUUCCUUUCAGCUUAAACCAGGCCUCGGCACAAUAAGCAUGUGCAAUGCCGAGCUCAUCUUUGCACCCACAACCAAGCUGAAUUAGACCCAUAGAAGAGGUGGUUUCACUAGUUUCUUGCAACCCCUCAGAACUCAAGUGACAAAUCCGACAAACCCUUUCUCCAUCCCAGUCCUUAAGACUGUCUCCUCCUCCACCAGCACAUUUCAUAUCAAUCACACAUGAUUGCUUCUCCCCUUUGGACACCUCUCCCUUUAACUCAUCCACCACUACCUUACUCGGUCCCAACCCACAGCCCUUGAUUUCCAACAGCUCGUUUCCUCCUCUAAUAGAUCUAUGCUCUUCUGAAUUUACAAUUAUCACUGUCUCAAGCACAACCUCAUUAACUGAAAUACUGGAAUCCCCAUGACUUUCUUGCUCUACUUUAUCCAAUGCCUCACUAUUUCCUCCUCUAACACAUGCUUCCUGACCUCCUAUCUGAAUUUCUCUAUCAUUUAACCCCAGUUCAUCAAUUUUUAUAGCUAAAUCCUUGUUUUCUCCACUAAAACUCACGAUCUCACCUGAAUUUACCACAAUCAUUCUCUCAAGAACGACCUCAUCAACUAAAUUAAUUGAAUUCCCGCUAGUUCCUUCAUCCAAUGGCUCACCAAUUCCUUUUCCAUCACUUGCGUCCUUAUCCCUAGCACUCACUGUCUCUGCUGAAUUUGGAACAAUUGGAUUCUCCAACACAACCUUAUUAUCCGAAUUGCUUGAAUCUCCACUUGAGGUCCCAAUUGUUUCUUGAUUAAAUUGACCCAAGGUUCCAACGAUUGCUUUAUGUCCAUUCGUUUCUUGAUCCAUUAAUUUUUCUUUGCCAAUAUAAUCUCUGCAAAAAACUCGAAGAGAAUUCCUAUACUAUAAGCAUUUAUGCAAACAAGUAGCCAGCUAUCUAUCUAAACCCACCAUCAGGCAGGCCAUGAACAAAACCAAUCCUAUAAACCCAAAAAUAUCCAAACCAACCACUGUACUUCAUGUUUGUAAACCAAAAGUAUUCAAAACAAAUAAACAAACUCAAAGAAAAACGAGGCUGAUUACGCUAAUUAAGCGAAAAGGGAGAUAGCUUUGAUGAAAAAAAUGAAAACCCAGAUGAUUACCGACUCCUUCAGGAUAACUUCAACUCCACGUAUAAGCCCCCACCAGUUCUCUCAACAAAAGAGUUUACUUUCAAUAUUAAACAUAUAACAAAAGAGCAAAAAGAAAGAGAUCUAUUCGUCUAGAGGAGUUUUCUGCAAGCUAACCACACCAAAUACUCUGUCUAUACGCAUACAGUAUAUAUUUAUGGCUACAGGUCAUGUGAAAGAGACAGCGCUUUGGUGGAGAAAAAUAACUGGAAAUGGUAAGGAAGAGAUGGAGUGGGAAGUGGAAAUGCUGUUAAUUAUAAAUAGUAUAUAUACUGUAAAUAGUUAUUCCCUGUAGUCAAGGUUUCUGAUUUGUUAUCUUUGAUUACUGUUUUUGUCACCAAUUAUCAAGUACACUAAUCUUCCAUCCAAAUUUUAUUGCGUGCGAAUGUGCAAGAGUAAACGCUGAUCAUUAAUAUAAAAAGAACAUGGGACACAAUGAUUGUAUCUAUACCCAAUCAACCUUUUUUUCACAGAAAAAGAGAAGUUUUUGUGAAUGGAUAACGAAGGACAGAACUAGGCAGUGUAGGGGUGGAGGUGGUGCCAACUCUGGUGCCGUGUCGUUUCGGGUUUGUCUUGCAGUGAGUUUUGACUCUGUAUAAAAUAGUCCUAGGUUUCCUACUUACCUCUGUACACAAAGUUGAAAUUUCUUUAUGGGCACCUUGUGCUUCUUCUUUACACAAAAAAUGCACACACUAAAAUGGGGGUUUGAUAGGAACUUGGCACUGCCCGAUUAAACUUUGUGUUCUUUGUCAAAA
rnacentral:misc_RNA from 1 species